UCUUAUCAUGUUGUAUUAUAAAUUAGGAUGUGUUCCAAUCUAUGGAUUGUGUAUCUACAUGUUAUAAUUCCAAGCUGUGUUUUAUGUGAAAAUUAUUAUGCUAAAUUGUGUAGAGAUUGUGAUUGGGAUUAUACCUCCACCCGACAUUUGGGGUGAGACGGCAAGGCCUCUUUGUGUAUGAUUGUGGUGUUGUUGUCACACCACCACCCAUACAUAUAUAUAUAUAUAUAUAUAUAUAUAUAUAUUGGGGUGAGGUGGCAUGGCCGCUUUGUGUAGGUAUUGGUAUCAUUGAUGCAUUUCCACCCGUAUAUAUUGGGGUGGGGCGGUAUGGCCGCUUUGUGAAGGUUUUUGGUACUGUAGUUAUACCUCCACCCACAUACAUUGGGGUGAGGCGGCAGGGCUGCUUGAGUGGAGUUUUGGUAUUGUGGUUACACCUUCACCUGCUUACAUUUGGGGUGAGGAAGCCGGGCCACUUUGUGUGAAAAUGAUUACAGAGGAUCUCAUCUUAAAUUCUAUAAAUGCUAAUGACAACUCCUGAUAAGCUUACUUUGGUUUAAACGGCUAUCUAUGUUAUUCUAUUGUCUCCAUGGUUCAUCAUAUUCAUAUUGUAUUUCCGAGUUCUUAAAUUAGAGUUAGGUUUUCAUACUAGUACUAUUCGACAUGUACUAAAGUCCCUUUUUGUUGGGGCACUACAUCUUUAAUGGAUGCAGGUGGUUCCACAGCAGAGGAUAUUGACCAGUGAUAGCGGUGCUCAUUCUUCCCAGCUGACUUGGUGAGCCCCAUCUCAUUCCAGGGUUGUGCUUCUUUUGUUUCGUUUGUGUUAUCUUGUUUUAAGGUAUAACCGGAGCCUUGUUGCCGGCUCUAUCAUUGUACUCUUUGGUAUGUUUAGAGGAUUUAUAGACUUAGUGUGGGUUGUAUAUGGUUGUUGGGAAUGAUAAACAAGUUGUGUUGUGAUUAAAUCACUUGUUCCACUUUGAACCAUGAAGGGGUGUGUGUGUUUUGAGACUUAUUAAAUGAAGUAACUAAUGGUAAUGAAUUGGUGUUAUAGACAUGAUCACCUUAUUGUCUAAUUAACGAAAUAUGUAUUAUCUUUAUUCAUGGGUGAGUUUCGGUAGAAAGAAAUCUAAUGGGCUUGCUCGGCCGGGUUCACUCGAUUGAUUGCCAAUCGCGCUCCCCUAUUUUAGGGCGUGACACUCCCGAACCCGUCAGUUGUCGGUGGACUGCUCUAACUGCUCCCGCAGUGAGAGAGGGUCACAAUGAGCCAACCGGGGGAUGGACUAGGAACGGUUCCUUCGGGGGCCUUCUCCGGUCAUCGAAUAGCCAACUCAAAACUGGUACAGACAAGGGUAAUCCGAGUAUUUAAUUAAAAUAAAGCAUUGCGAUGGUCCAUGCGGAUGAUUACGCAAUUGAUUUCUACCUAGUGCUCAGAAUGUCAAUAUGAAUAAAUUCACCCAAGCACAGGUAAACAGCAGCAGUAAUUAUGGAUCUCUUAAGGUAGCCAAAUGCCUCGCCAUCUAAUUAGUGAAACGCAUGAAUGGAUUAAGGAUAUUCCCACUACCCUUGUCUACUCUCCAGUGAAACGAUACCCAAGGGAACGGGCUUGACAGAAUCAGCGGGGAAAGAAGACCCUGUUGAACUUGACUCUAGACCGACUUUGUGAAAUGACUUGAGAGGUGUAGUAUAAGUGGGAGCCGAAAGGCGAAAGUAAAAUACCACACCACUAUUUUUAACGUUAUUUUACGUAUUCUGUGAAUCAGAAGCGGUGCUUUGCCCCUCAUUUUGGACCCAAGGCUUACUUGCAGGCCGAUCUGGGCAAAACAUAUUGUCAGGUGGGGAGUUUGGCUAGGGAGUCAUAUCUGUUAAAAGAUAACGCAUGUGUCCUAAGAUGAGCUCAACGAGAAUAGAAAUCACGUGUGGAAAAGAAGGGUAAAAGCUCAUUUGAUUCUGAUAUCUAGUACAAAUACGAACCAUGAAGCGUGGCCUAACGAUCUUUUAGACCUUCGAAAUUUGAAGUUAGAGGUGUCAGAAAAGUUACCACAGGGAUAACUGGCUUGUGACAGCCAAGCGUUCAUAGCGACGUUGCUUUUUGAUCCUUCGAUGUUAGAUCUUCCUAUCAUUAUGAAGCAAAAUACACCAAGUGUUGGAUUGUUCACCCACCAAUAGGGAAGAUGAGUUGAGUUUAGACCGUCGUGAGACAAGUUAGUUUUACCCUACUGAUGAUAGUGUCGCAAUAGUAAUUCAACCUAAUAUGAGAGGAACCGUUGAUUCGCACAAUUGGUCACCGCGCUUGGUUGAAAAGCCAGAGGCGCGAAGCUAUCGUGCGCUGGAUUAUGACUGAAUGCCUCUAAGUAAGAAUCCGGGCUAGAAGCAACGCAUGCACCCGCCGCCCGCUUGUCGACCCGCAAUAGGGGCCUUUGGCCCCCAAAGGCACAUGUCGUUGGCAAAGUCAUCGCGGCGAAGAGCCGCAACGUCCGUCUUGAAGUACAAUUUCCAUCGAGUGACAGGUAGAAUCCAUUCAACAUAACUUAUAUAUAUGACGGGG
rnacentral:rRNA from 1 species